GCGGUAAUACGGAGGGGGCUAGCGUUAUUCGGAAUUACUGGGCGUAAAGCGCGUGUAGGUGGCCUGAAAAGUCAGGGGUGAAAUCCCAGAGCUUAACUCUGGAAUUGCCUCUGAAACUGUCAGGCUUGCAUCUGUCAGAGGGUGGUGGAAUUCCUAGUGUAGAGGUGAAAUUCGUAGAUAUUAGGAGGAACACCAGUGGCGAAGGCGACCACCUGGGGCAGUAUGGACACUGAGACGCGAAAGCGUGGGGAGCAAACAGGAUUAGAUACCCUGGUAGUCCACGCCGUAAACGAUGAGUGCUAGCCGUUGGGCCUUAAGGCUCAGUGGUACAGCCAACGCGUUAAGCACUCCGCCUGGGGAGUACGGCCGCAAGGUUAAAACUCAAAGGAAUUGACGGGGACCCGCACAAGCGGUGGAGCAUGUGGUUUAAUUCGAUGCAACGCGAAAAACCUUACCACCUUUUGACAUCCCGAUCGCGGAGACC
rnacentral:rRNA from 1 species